rnacentral:rRNA from 1 species
GUGAACGCUGGCGGUAGGCCUAACACAUGCAAGUCGAACGGCAGCACAGUAAGAGCUUGCUCUUACGGGUGGCGAGUGGCGGACGGGUGAGGAAUACAUCGGAAUCUACUUUUUCGUGGGGGAUAACGUAGGGAAACUUACGCUAAUACCGCAUACGACCUACGGGUGAAAGCAGGGGAUCUUCGGACCUUGCGCGAUUGAAUGAGCCGAUGUCGGAUUAGCUAGUUGGCGGGGUAAAGGCCCACCAAGGCGACGAUCCGUAGCUGGUCUGAGAGGAUGAUGAGCCACACUGGAACUGAGACACGGUCCAGACUCCUACGGGAGGCAGCAGUGGGGAAUAUUGGACAAUGGGCGCAAGCCUGAUCCAGCCAUACCGCGUGGGUGAAGAAGGCCUUCGGGUUGUAAAGCCCUUUUGUUGGGAAAGAAAAGCAGCAGGUUAAUACCCCGCUGUUCUGACGGUACCCAAAGAAUAAGCACCGGCUAACUUCGUG